rnacentral:rRNA from 1 species
UACAGAGGGUGCGAGCGUUAAUCGGAAUUACUGGGCGUAAAGCGCGCGUAGGCGGCUUGUUAAGUCGGAUGUGAAAUCCCUGGGCUCAACCUAGGAACUGCAUUCGAUACUGGCAAGCUAGAGUGUGGGAGAGGAAGGUAGAAUUCCAGGUGUAGCGGUGAAAUGCGUAGAGAUCUGGAGGAAUACCGAUGGCGAAGGCAGCCUUCUGGCCUAACACUGACGCUGAGGUGCGAAAGCAUGGGGAGCAAACAGG